rnacentral:rRNA from 1 species
UGGGGAAUUUUGGACAAUGGGCGAAAGCCUGAUCCAGCAAUGCCGCGUGUGUGAAGAAGGCCUUCGGGUUGUAAAGCACUUUUGUCCGGAAAGAAAUCCUCUGGGUUAAUACCUCGGGGGGAUGACGGUACCGGAAGAAUAAGCACCGGCUAACUACGUGCCAGCAGCCGCGGUAAUACGUAGGGUGCAAGCGUUAAUCGGAAUUACUGGGCGUAAAGCGUGCGCAGGCGGUUUUGUAAGACGGAUGUGAAAUCCCCGGGCUUAACCUGGGAACUGCAUUCGUGACUGCAAGGCUAGAGUAUGGCAGAGGGGGGUUAGAAUUCCACGUGUAGCAGUGAAAUGCGUAGAGAUGUGGAGGAAUACCGAUGGCGAAGGCAGCCCCCUGGGCCAAUACUGACGCUCAUGCACGAAAGCGUGGGGAGCAAACAGGAUUAGAUACCCUGGUAGUCCACGCCCUAAACGAUGUCAACUAGUUGUUGGGGAUUCAUUUCCUUAGUAACGUAGCUAACGCGUGAAGUUGACCGCCUGGGGAGUACGGUCGCAAGAUUAAAACUCAAAGGAAUUGAC